rnacentral:rRNA from 1 species
GGAUAAGGGUGUGCUAGGAACCGGGGUAAUACGGUGGUCAGUAGCGGUGUGCGGAAUGAUUGUGAGUUAAGAGGGUGUAGGAGGGGUUGAAAGGCAGGUGUGGAAGCGCCGGGUUCAAACCGGGAAGUGUACUUGAAACUGAAAAGCGUGAGUACGGGAGAGGUGAGUAGAAUGCCUGGCGUAGUGGUGAAAUACGUAGAUAUCAGGAGGAAUACCGGUGGCGAAGGCGGCUCACUGGCCCAGUACUGACUCGUAGACGCGAAAGCAUGGGGACCAAACAGGAUUAGAUACCUUGUAGUC